GACGAACGCGGGCGGCGUGCUUAACACAUGCAAGUCGAACGGUGAAGCGCCUUCCUUUGUGGUGGGUGUGGAUGAGUGGCGAACGGGUGAGUAACACGUGAGUAACCUGCCCCCUUCUUCUGGAUAACCGCAUGAAAGUGUGGCUAAUACGGGAUAUUCUGUGCCUGCUGCAUGGUGGGUGUGGGAAAGAUUGCGCUUUUUGGUGUUUUUGGUGGGGGAUGGGCUCGCGGCCUAUCAGCUUGUUGGUGGGGUGAUGGCCCACCAAGGCGGUGACGGGUAGCCGGCCUGAGAGGGUGGACGGUCACACUGGGACUGAGACACGGCCCAGACUCCUACGGGAGGCAGCAGUGGGGAAUAUUGCACAAUGGGCGCAAGCCUGAUGCAGCGACGCCGCGUGAGGGAUGGAGGCCUUCGGGUUGUGAACCUCUUUCGCCAGUGAAGCAGGCCUGUCCCUGUGUGGGUGGGUUGACGGAACUGAUAAGAAGCGCCG
rnacentral:rRNA from 1 species